CGGGGUGCAGCAGGCGCGAAAACUUUACAAUGCUGGAAACAGCGAUAAGGGGACCUCGAGUGCCAGGUUACAAAUCUGGCUGUCGUGAUGCCUAAAAAGCAUUGCAUAGCAAGGGCCGGGCAAGACCGGUGCCAGCCGCCGCGGUAACACCGGCGGCUCGAGUGGUAACCGUUAUUAUUGGGUCUAAAGGGUCUGUAGCCGGCCGGAUAAGUCUCUUGGGAAAUCCAGCAGCUCAACUGUUGGGCUUUCAGGAGAUACUGUCUGGCUCGAGGCCGGGAGAGGUGAGAGGUACUUCAGGGGUAGGGGUGAAAUCUUGUAAUCCUUGAAGGACCACCAGUGGCGAAGGCGUCUCACCAGAACGGACCUGACGGCAAGGGACGAAAGCUAGGGGCACGAACCGGAUUAGAUACCCGGGUAGUCCUAGCCGUAAACGAUACUCGCUAGGUGUCGGCCACGGUGCGACCGUUGUCGGUGCCGUAGGGAAGCCGUGAAGCGAGCCACCUGGGAAGUACGGCCGCAAGGCUGAAACUUAAAGGAAUGGCGGGGGAGCAC
rnacentral:rRNA from 1 species